rnacentral:rRNA from 1 species
UUAAGUUAUUAAGGGCGCACGGUGGAUGCCUUGGCACUAGAAGCCGAUGAAGGACGUUACUAACGACGAUAUGCUUUGGGGAGCUGUAAGUAAGCUUUGAUCCAGAGAUUUCCGAAUGGGGAAACCCAGCAUGAGUUAUGUCAUGUUAUCGAUAUGUGAAUACAUAGCAUAUCAGAAGGCACACCCGGAGAACUGAAACAUCUUAGUACCCGGAGGAAGAGAAAGAAAAUUCGAUUCCCUUAGUAGCGGCGAGCGAAACGGGAAGAGCCCAAACCAACAAGCUUGCUUGUUGGGGUUGUAGGACACUCUAUACGGAGUUACAAAGGACGACAUUAGACGAAUCAUCUGGAAAGAUGAAUCAAAGAAGGUAAUAAUCCUGUAGUCGAAAAUGUUGUCUCUCUUGAGUGGAUCCUGAGUACGAUGGAGCACGUGAAAUUCCGUCGGAAUCUGGGAGGACCAUCUCCUAAGGCUAAAUACUCUCUAGUGACCGAUAGUGAACCAGUACCGUGAGGGAAAGGUGAAAAGCACCCCGGAAGGGGAGUGAAAUAGAACCUGAAACCGUGUGCUUACAAGUAGUCAGAGCCCGUUAAUGGGUGAUGGCGUGCCUUUUGUAGAAUGAACCGGCGAGUUACGAUUUGAUGCAAGGUUAAGCAGUAAAUGUGGAGCCGUAGCGAAAGCGAGUCUGAAUAGGGCGUUUAGUAUUUGGUCGUAGACCCGAAACCAGGUGAUCUACCCUUGGUCAGGUUGAAGUUCAGGUAACACUGAAUGGAGGACCGAACCGACUUACGUUGAAAAGUGAGCGGAUGAACUGAGGGUAGCGGAGAAAUUCCAAUCGAACCUGGAGAUAGCUGGUUCUCUCCGAAAUAGCUUUAGGGCUAGCCUCAAGUGAUGAUUAUUGGAGGUAGAGCACUGUUUGGACGAGGGGCCCCUCUCGGGUUACCGAAUUCAGACAAACUCCGAAUGCCAAUUAAUUUAACUUGGGAGUCAGAACAUGGGUGAUAAGGUCCGUGUUCGAAAGGGAAACAGCCCAGACCACCAGCUAAGGUCCCAAAAUAUAUGUUAAGUGGAAAAGGAUGUGGCGUUGCCCAGACAACUAGGAUGUUGGCUUAGAAGCAGCCAUCAUUUAAAGAGUGCGUAAUAGCUCACUAGUCGAGUGACACUGCGCCGAAAAUGUACCGGGGCUAAACAUAUUACCGAAGCUGUGGAUUGUCCUUUGGACAAUGGUAGGAGAGCGUUCUAAGGGCGUUGAAGCAUGAUCGUAAGGACAUGUGGAGCGCUUAGAAGUGAGAAUGCCGGUGUGAGUAGCGAAAGACGGGUGAGAAUCCCGUCCACCGAUUGACUAAGGUUUCCAGAGGAAGGCUCGUCCGCUCUGGGUUAGUCGGGUCCUAAGCUGAGGCCGACAGGCGUAGGCGAUGGAUAACAGGUUGAUAUUCCUGUACCACCUAUAAUCGUUUUAAUCGAUGGGGGGACGCAGUAGGAUAGGCGAAGCGUGCGAUUGGAUUGCACGUCUAAGCAGUAAGGCUGAGUAUUAGGCAAAUCCGGUACUCGUUAAGGCUGAGCUGUGAUGGGGAGAAGACAUUGUGUCUUCGAGUCGUUGAUUUCACACUGCCGAGAAAAGCCUCUAGAUAGAAAAUAGGUGCCCGUACCGCAAACCGACACAGGUAGUCAAGAUGAGAAUUCUAAGGUGAGCGAGCGAACUCUCGUUAAGGAACUCGGCAAAAUGACCCCGUAACUUCGGGAGAAGGGGUGCUCUUUAGGGUUAACGCCCAGAAGAGCCGCAGUGAAUAGGCCCAAGCGACUGUUUAUCAAAAACACAGGUCUCUGCUAAACCGUAAGGUGAUGUAUAGGGGCUGACGCCUGCCCGGUGCUGGAAGGUUAAGAGGAGUGGUUAGCUUCUGCGAAGCUACGAAUCGAAGCCCCAGUAAACGGCGGCCGUAACUAUAACGGUCCUAAGGUAGCGAAAUUCCUUGUCGGGUAAGUUCCGACCCGCACGAAAGGCGUAACGAUUUGGGCACUGUCUCAACGAGAGACUCGGUGAAAUCAUAGUACCUGUGAAGAUGCAGGUUACCCGCGACAGGACGGAAAGACCCCGUGGAGCUUUACUGUAGCCUGAUAUUGAAAUUCGGCACAGCUUGUACAGGAUAGGUAGGAGCCUUUGAAACGUGAGCGCUAGCUUACGUGGAGGCGCUGGUGGGAUACUACCCUAGCUGUGUUGGCUUUCUAACCCGCACCACUUAUCGUGGUGGGAGACAGUGUCAGGCGGGCAGUUUGACUGGGGCGGUCGCCUCCUAAAAGGUAACGGAGGCGCUCAAAGGUUCCCUCAGAAUGGUUGGAAAUCAUUCAUAGAGUGUAAAGGCAUAAGGGAGCUUGACUGCGAGACCUACAAGUCGAGCAGGGUCGAAAGACGGACUUAGUGAUCCGGUGGUUCCGCAUGGAAGGGCCAUCGCUCAACGGAUAAAAGCUACCCCGGGGAUAACAGGCUUAUCUCCCCCAAGAGUUCACAUCGACGGGGAGGUUUGGCACCUCGAUGUCGGCUCAUCGCAUCCUGGGGCUGUAGUCGGUCCCAAGGGUUGGGCUGUUCGCCCAUUAAAGCGGUACGCGAGCUGGGUUCAGAACGUCGUGAGACAGUUCGGUCCCUAUCCGUCGUGGGCGUAGGAAAUUUGAGAGGAGCUGUCCUUAGUACGAGAGGACCGGGAUGGACAUACCUCUGGUGUACCAGUUGUCGUGCCAACGGCAUAGCUGGGUAGCUAUGUGUGGACGGGAUAAGUGCUGAAAGCAUCUAAGCAUGAAGCCCCCCUCAAGAUGAGAUUUCCCAACUUCGGUUAUAAGAUCCCUCAAAGAUGAUGAGGUUAAUAGGUUCGAGGUGGAAGCAUGGUGACAUGUGGAGCUGACGAAUACUAAUCGAUCGAAGACUUAAUCAA